UUGUACAUAACGUGAAGCCUGGGAGCAACUGAGCUGAGCAACCAGCCUGAGCUCCCGGACUGCGCACACAUCCUGUCCAGACUAUUCCUCCUGAAUCUCUGGAUGUUCUUUGUGGCCCCAGGAGCACCGUGGAGCAUUCAGUGAUGAGACAGAAGAAUUGUUAGACGUUCUUGUAGGGAUCAAUUUUAGCAGACAAGAGGCAUCUCCAGGUGCUGUGUUCCACUGUUUGUAAAGAUGUCCCUGGUUUAAAAGAACAGCAUGAUACUUAUGAAACUCCAAUUGGGCAUGAUUGCCCAUAGUAAAUCAGGACUACUUCCACUGCAAACCAUGGGUUGUAAAACUGCUGAAAGGAAGAGACGAAUUAAGGGCCAUGAUCUACGGUAUUUUUCUCAGUAAUUUUCUGUAAGUAUUCAUAGGAGUAGGAUUAGCCUCUGAAAAUGCAGACAAUUCCCAUGAUACAAGCCUUAGGUUAUUUGAAAUCAAGGAGUCCCCUUUCUUUACUAGGAGUACUGUAUAAUGUAUUUACAGAGGAGGUGUUACUUUGAAGUUUGGUUCUUGUCUUUGAUCAAAAGCAUACAGCCUCCCUCAUGUCUCUUGGAAAGAGACAGUAGUUAUAUUGCACUGGUGUGGUUUCUUAAUGUUUUGGACAGCAAAAAUGACAUUUACAUGAAACAGCAAUCCUGGGAACACACAAGAUAAGACAAUUUCAACUAUGAGCUGAGGAAAUAUUUCACGAGCAGUCUUUAAAUCAAGCAAAAGUAAUAAUAUGUCAUACUCACUUUGCCUCCCUUACCUGCUGUUAAUUAAAGCACUGAUAAAGGAAGUCUGUCAACAUUGAUAGGAUGAAAAGUAAAACAUGUGUUUAAAUUUUUCAAGAUGAAAGUAUUGUUAAUUGGAAAUACAGAAAAGGGGGUUUUGUAAAUGCUUUUAAUUUGGCAUGCUUGUUUAAGGAGUAUGUAUAUAAUAGGGUAGUGCAGCUCUGAAGCCCUGUCCCUUGAUGGAGGUGGGGGACAUUUUCUUUUCCUAGGCAGGAUAAAGAAAGCAGAAUGCCACUGGUCAUUAAGCAGUGUCCUCUGUAUAAGACUCUCAACAGAGCGCUAGACUUGGCAGCCAGGCAUGGCAUUAACCCAAUGGAGCCUUUUGCUUAGGACAUAAGCCUUAGGUGCUUCUGAUUCCCCAGUGCGUGUGCUUGCCAUGUACAUGUUAUCGGCCUGCAAUUCACAGCCUUUCUGAUCAGUUAAUGGAGGAGGAAAUGAAAAGCUUAUCUGCAUCACAGUUGUACUUCCAGUAACGAUGUGCCAAUGAGAAGUGAAGCUGCUUCAUUAUUCCAGUGAUUCUUAACCAGGGUGCUGCUUUGGCUGUGAGGUGUGAAGAGAUAAGCAGAUACAUUAAACAGAUAAGCACAGGCUUAGGCUUUUCCCUUCCUGGAUGAUUCCCUACCUGCACUGCCCAGCCUCUCUGCAAGGAGAGGUCUGAUGCAAUUUAGCGGCUGUCAAGGAGAAGGAAUGCCACGUGCCCAGCCAGCAAUCUGUGGAUAAUGCUCCCCAGCAGGAUACAGAGUGAGAACAUUUCCAUUAUGGCAUUUCCCUUUUGCUUUUCCUGGUACACCUGAAUUAAAAACACCGGAGUGCUGGUUCUGGGAGCUGCAUUAGGUUUUUCAGUCACAGCAUAUCGCUGCUUCGUAAUGGAAUCCAAAAAGGACUAAUGGCCAAUCUAAUUCCCACUGGAGCCUAGGGGAAGACCCCCUUCAGCUUUCCUGUGGACUGUAAUGUUCCUUAGAGGUUCACAGCUUGAAAGCUGCAACAAGAGAGUCACUCUUGCUCUCUUCUCUUUUACAACAGUGUUUUUUUUUAUGCCACUGGAAUCAUGUGUCUGACAUUUUCUGCUUUUCUUACAACUCUUCUCAUGAGAAUGGUGCACCUUUAUUUUAAUGCUUGUGGUUUUUUAGGACAGACCAAAUACGCUUUUGAACUGGCUACUCUUUAAAAUUGUCCUUUCUAAUAAAAUUAUUUACACAACACUAUUUGCAUGAUUUUAGUGAUAUAUUCAAUCAAGUGCCCUCAACGCAGAUUUCUUUUAGGAGGUGCCUCGGGCAUGGUAUAAUUUCAAAUGAUGCCCUUGAUAUAUGGCCUGAUUUUUCAAAUUGCUGUGCCCCUACAAAUUCCACUGGAGGUGCAGGUAAUCUUCACUUUCAGAAAUCAGUCGCCUGCCUUUUCCUAAUAGAGGGUGGAACGAUUACGACACACGCGUACUCUUCACUUUUUUAAGACACUUUUUAAUUAGAUGAAAUAACAACAUUGCCAUUUUGGAUGAGGAAAUUUUUUGACCUUUCAGUUUUCUGUUUUAGGAAUACUUUGCCAUUUCAUAUUUUCCCCAAAGAACACCAAGGGUAGCAGGGGAAAACUGGAAUGUCCACCCAAUCAAAUGAGGGUAUGUUGAAAAGGUCAAAGUAAUAUAUAAUAUUAUAAUAAAAAAGGAGCAGAUGAAUAUAGAAUUAAAGUUCAGAGACUUUACGUGUGAAGAGAAAAAAAAGGCCUCAGUUCUGGAAACAGCAUGGGGUCGUGGUCAAUGACACGGUGUGGAAGUUCCUAUGUAAUUCCUGUAGCAGGUUUGGGAUAGCUUUGUGCUUCCAGCAUGAGGCGAAACUACAUCCCAGAGUUGCUAAAGGAAGUUGCAGAACUGGAAUUUUUGCAAUAUUUAUACCUCUUCUAAAUAUUUCCCAGACUUAAUGCAUAUUAGAGAAGAGACACAAAUAGAAACUAACAUUGUAUAAUAACUUUCAUGAAGAAGGGAACUAGCACUUGUUUUCAGAGGUAAGAUGCAAAGACCGGUGACUGUCACUUUAAACAAGAUUCAGACAAUCUGUAACUCCGACUCUGUUGUGCAGGUCAUCAGCGCUGCCCCAGAAGAGGGUAGGCUGGAUAAAGAAGGGGCAUUGGUUAAGUGACAUGAGAUCUAACAAAAUGCGAGCUUGCAUGGGUAUGUAUGUGUAUGCAAAACAGAAUGGUUGCUUCCUGUGCCGCAUGGCUGCUUCACAAUCUCUUUGCUUUAGCUUUGCAACAUAUCUUUUCUGUUUCCUAUGCUCUCUUUCCAAUGUACCCCAGCUCUUUCAUAGUCUUUAUGCCCCACUAAUCCAUUAGGGGUGUGCAAACUGGGCCGUAUUCGAUUUGGAUUUGGCCCGCAUUGGGGGCAGUGAUUCGAUUAGUUGAUUUGGAUCACUGUCCCUGAUUCAAUUCUGCCAAAUGCAAAUCUGAAGGUUCGAUGCUGAUUCAGAGAAUCAGCUAUUCAGCCAUAGACACAGCUUUAAACAUUUUUU